AUGGCUCAUUAAAUCAGCUAUGGUUCCUUAGAUCGUCUCAUCCUACUCGGAUAACUGUGGAAAAUCUAGAGCUAAUACGUGCUUACAAGCCCUGACCUCACGGGAGGGGCGCAUUUAUUAGAUCAAAACCAAUCGGGGCUUGCCCCGUCUGCUUGGUGACUCUGGAUAACUUUUGUGCUGAUCGCAUGGCCUCUGCGCUGGCGACGUAUCUUUCAAGUGUCUGCCCUAUCAACUUACGAUGGUAGGUGAUAUGCCUACCAUGGUUAUAACGGGUAACGGGGAAUCAGGGUUCGAUUCCGGAGAGGGAGCCUGAGAAACGGCUACCACAUCUAAGGAAGGCAGCAGGCGCGCAAAUUACCCACUCCCGGCACGGGGAGGUAGUGACGAAAAAUAACGAUACGGGACUCUUUUGAGGCCCCGUAAUUGGAAUGAGUACACUUUAAAUCCGUUAACAAGUAUCUAUUGGAGGGCAAGUCUGGUGCCAGCAGCCGCGGUAAUUCCAGCUCCAAUAGCGUAUAUUAAUGUUGCUGCAGUUAAAAAGCUCGUAGUUGGAUCUGAGGACUCGAAUUGGUGGUGCACCAUACGGUGUUACUGCCGAUUCGGCCUACCUAGUCGGUGCUCGCUCUUGGUGUUCUUAAUUGAAUGCCCUGAGUGCCCGGCAAGUUUACUUUGAAAAAAUUAGAGUGCUCAAAGCAGGCCAUUAGCCGGAAUACUUCAGCAUGGAAUAAUGGAAUAGGACUUCGGUUCUAUUUUGUUGGUUUUCGGAACCCGAGGUAAUGAUUAAGAGAGACAGACGGGGGCAUUCGUACUGCGGUGUUAGAGGUGAAAUUCUUGGAUCGCCGCAAGACGAACAACUGCGAAAGCAUUUGCCAAGAAUGUUUUCAUUAAUCAAGAACGAAAGUCAGAGGUUCGAAGACGAUCAGAUACCGUCCUAGUUCUGACCAUAAACGAUGCCAACUGGCGAUCCGAGAUCGUUUGCUUAUUGACCUCUCGGGCAGCCUCCGGGAAACCAAAGUUUUUAGGUUCCGGGGGAAGUAUGGUUGCAAAGCUGGAAACUGUUCAAUUGCAACUCUGCCUGUGACACCAAGUGGUCGGGUUACUUGGUCUGUUCUGGCCCGGAGUCGGUAGGGUUUCCGGCCUUGUGCUCUUUCCUUACUGUUCUCUGUAACGCCGAAGGCGGGGCUUCCACGGUGGGGAAGCGGUUGUACAAAUCCGGCAAAUCCAGCCAAAUGGGUUCCGGACUCUGUCCAACCUGCAACUGGUAACAGCCUCGGCUGGCUAACAUUUGAGCUGGGACUCGCUUGGGAGGAGCGAGGAUAAUAUAAACCUCUAUGUGACUGAGGUGAGGAAUCUGGUUCUCGUAAAAUGGCUGGAGAUCCCGAGCCUGUAAGUCAUAAAUUAGUUCCCCCACGAGGGAGGUGUCGAAUUGAAGCCAGUGCGUGCCCUUACUAGUUUAAGGGAUUGUAUACUUCCUUUGGUGUACCCACCUGGAAGUGCCCAAGGGGUCCUAUCCCUGCACUCCAUCCCCGAUUGGAGUCAGGUGACGGCUCCUUACCUCACCAGACGCGGCCGGACCCCGGAAGGGGUCUGGGCCCCCGAAGCCUGACGGCGUCGGGGUGCAGGAAGCCUCUAGGCGACCAGCCCAGCCGUGCAGAAAUGCAGUAGGCCUUUAUCUGGCUAUUAACGGUAAAUUCACCGGGCCAGUGUCUGACCGAGGUUUUGUGGCACCUUGCUAGGCAAGAGGGUGGACCAGGCAGGGGCGGUUGUAUCCGAAAGGUCGCCGUCUCCCUCCGUUUUGCCUGGCUCCGCAAGGGGCGUGUCUACGUCUCCUGCUGUGGGACUCGCCGUCUCCUGUUCUCAGUUGACGGGCCAGCAGCCUAACGGCGGCUGGUUGUGGCGACCUACCGGAAGCUACACGAGAGCGGGCCUAAAGGCCCGCCCGCGCAGUUGGGGGGCGGAGACCGCCGCCCCCCCAAACCCCCCACGGUACACUAAAGGAAUUGACGGAAGGGCACCACCAGGAGUGGAGCCUGCGGCUUAAUUUGACUCAACACGGGAAAACUCACCCCGGCCCGGACACUGUUAGGAUUGACAGAUUGAGAGCUCUUUCUUGAUUCGGUGGGUGGUGGUGCAUGGCCGUUCUUAGUUGGUGGAGCGAUUUGUCUGGUUAAUUCCGAUAACGAACGAGACUCUAGCCUGCUAAAUAGUACGCGCGAUACCUUUUCGUCGGUGCUGACUUCUUAGAGGGACAAGCGUCUUGAAGACGCACGAGAUUGAGCAAUAACAGGUCUGUGAUGCCCUUAGAUGUUCGGGGCCGCACGCGCGCUACACUGAAGGGGACAGCGAGUUUUUCCUGGUUCGAAAGAACCGGGUAAUCUGUUGAA
rnacentral:rRNA from 1 species